rnacentral:lncRNA from 1 species
CUUAGGGUAUGUGGAAAGUCUGAAAAUGAAUAAUUUUCCGGUAGUUGCAAGGGGAAUUACGUAAAGUGCAGCAAUUUUAAACGAUGACGUCAAGGAGGAAUGACUCAUAUCCAUUGGUUUAAGUGUAUCCAUGAGUGCAUCAAUACCGGUUUGAGUAAAGUCAUUAGGUGACGAAAGUUUUAUGAGAAAAGUUGAUUCUAGAUUUUUACCGAAUAAUAUUUUAAAAUUGCCCCAUACGUCUUAGGAAGAAAACUUAAGUAUUCAAGUUUAAAGUUAGCUUAUAGAAUUUUUGUGACGAAAGAGUAUUGAAAAUACAAAGCUAUUGUGUCGUGCAGCUAAGCCUAACUGGUAGAAACGUGCAGACGACAUUUUUGUUAUUUGAGAAAGAAUCAGAUGGAAGAAUGUUGAGGGUAAUUAUUUUAAAGAAUUAUUGUUAUCCAUAUGAAGAGAUUAUUUUAGAAAGGUAGAACUUACAAAAUGUUACCUAGAUGAGAUUGACUUUACAUCAGGUAAAAAAUUUAUAAAUAAUAUAUAGAAAAGAAUCAGAAACUAAAGAAUGGCACAGAGACAAAAUACAGAAAGUUCGUUAUUUUAUGAUUUAAAAUCUAAGUUUGCCUCCCGCAGUUCAAAUCAUAAUCAUUCACAGUAUAGAAAUGUAGAAUUGGAACAAUCUGGUCAAGAACCAGAAGGAUUUGCGCCUUUACUCAAUGGGAAUCAAGGUGAGUAUAACAUUAUCUAUAGAAAAACUAUUAAAUUUUAAAUAUGAUUAAAAUUCCAAAUUAAGAUCAAUCAUAAAAAAGCAAUCUGAGAAAACUUUUAAAUAUUUUCAAUGGUGAAAUUCAUUAUAUUUUUAUAUAAUUUCAUGAAAAAAUUACGUUUUCAAUAAUAAAU